UUUGCGCUUGGCCGCUGGCCGCCAUACUUCCGACUGGCUUUUCUAAAAAAGAGUUUCGACUUCAAGCUGGGUAGUGGCGUAGGUGGUGGCAUUUGCCUGUAAUCUGAGCACUCGGGAGGCAGAGACAGGCAGGUCUGUGUUGAGCUGGAGGACAGUCUAGUCCAGAAAGCAAGUUCCAGGACAACCAGGCUGCCUAGACAAAGGAACCUUGUCUCGGAAAACCAGAGAGAAAGGGACAAAGAGCUGGGACAUUGGGCAAAGAAGACAGGCCUUUGCUCUCUGUAGAGUGAGUGUGCAGUGCAGCCAGCAGCUGCACACGGAAGAAAGCAGGACCUACCGAUUUGCUGUGCUGCCUCCAAGUUUUGUCACCAACUACUGCCGACCAAAUAGCAGGUGUUUGCCUG